rnacentral:rRNA from 1 species
GCAACGUGCCUUUCACUACGGAAUAGCUCUUGGAAACGAGUGGUAAUACCGUAUACGCCCUCCGGGGGAAAGAUUUAUCGGUGAAAGAUCGGCCCGCGUUAGAUUAGUUUGUUGGUGGGGUAAAGGCCUACCAAGACUACGAUCUAUAGCUGGUCUGAGNCGGAUGAUCAGCCACACUGGGACUGAGACACGGCCCAGACUCCUACGGGAGGCAGCAGUGGGGAAUCUUGCACAAUGGGCGAAAGCCUGAUGCAGCCAUGCCGCGUGAAUGAUGAAGGCCUUA